AGCUCCGAGGAGCGCUUUAGAAAACGAAAAACGAAAAAAACAACAUGUAAUCCAAUCGCCAAUCGCAGUGCAAUGUAGCUGAUUUGUGCACAAAUCGUCUAAUAUAUAAUAGUUAUAUUUAAAGUGUUUAACGUAACGUUUAGCAGUAGGUUCUUAUGGCUUAGCGGUAGAGCAGUAGCUCUCAUGAAAACGGGAGACCCACCGUAAAACGGUAGACCUGGCAAGCCUGAAAAUAACUUCUUCGAUCAGCUGAGAUCAGUUGAGAGGCGCGAUAAUAGCGCACUCACGGCCUGAGCAAACAAUAUUAACGCAGAACUGUCAUUACACGAGAGUGAACAGGCCCUGGUGCGUGCCUUGUUCUAUGAAGUAGGAGAAUCAAUAAUUCUAGUUCUUUUUUGUGUUAUAUUAAAGUCAAUGCUCUCAAAUAUAAAUCUAAGAACAUGAAUUCGGUCAUACAUUUAGGGGUCGAAGACAUGACCGCUACAGUAGUCAAGGUUCUCCUGUUUUUAGGAGCUCUGUUUCAAAUGGUUUGUCUGGGAGCCUGUAUUUUUGUGAAGGAAACCGCUAACGACAGUAAUUGGGCACCAAGGAUGAUAAACUCCUACCGGAAAUGGACAAAAUAAGGAUUGACUCAUCUUCACAAAGCCCUGACAGAAUUACAUUACCUAAAGUAUUUAAGUUAUUCUCUAACAUAUGCUUCAAUUCAAAGUGACAAUAUUUUCCUGGUGAAACAAUUGAUAUUGGAAAUUGACACCUCUGUGGAGUACUUACUAGUUACCUAUUAUCACUUGGUAAAGUUACGCAUUUUAGUUUUAAAACCACAAGUAGUUCAUUCAUUACACUUUGACUUAACUGGUGUCGAUAUUUUAACAUCCAGCUCCGCACAGAAUAUCCCCGUCGACCAUAGUCUUCUCUUUGGAAGAUAAUGUUAAAGGUAAAUUAUAAUGAGAAUAAGCCGGAUAACCGGGAUAACCACCGCACGCCGGUGAUAAAUUUGUCUCAAUUGCCUCCGUGUUGGCUAAAGAACACUAGGAGAUCUACUAGAUUUGGAUUACUUUUUAGUUUGCAAUUAUCUAACACCAUUUCACCAUCGGUUUAAUCCAUACAUCUAAAAUUUGAGAAUUCUUUUUGCACUUCCUUGUUUACCAAACGCCGAAGAUAUGCCUCUUCGAAAUCAUUUUUUUCAUUGCUCGGCUCAUUUUACUGCCCUCAAAUAAACUUGUAUCUCUUAGAACACAAAUGAAUUGAACAACUCGAAAGUAUACCAGCAUAACAUGGUCUACGUGGUCUAAGUUACAUGUUAUUUAAUUAUAUGACCCUAUUUUAAAGUUUCUACAAUUAAAAAGUAUAGGUACGAACGGAUACUGCAUUAUCACUUAUUUUGAUAAAUCAGUUAAGUACUUCUGUAUUAACAAGUAGUGUAAUAAAUGUCAAUGGAAAAUGAAAUAAACCACCUUUGAAUCAUGA
rnacentral:misc_RNA from 1 species